rnacentral:rRNA from 1 species
GAUGAACGCUGGCGGCGUGCCUAAUACAUGCAAGUCGAGCGAACGGACGAGAAGCUUGCUUCUCUGAUGUUAGCGGCGGACGGGUGAGUAACACGUGGAUAACCUACCUAUAAGACUGGGAUAACUUCGGGAAACCGUAGCUAAUACCGGAUAAUAUUUUGAACCGCAUGGUUCAAAAGUGAAAGACGGUCUUGCUGUCACUUAUAGAUGGAUCCGCGCUGCAUUAGCUAGUUGGUAAGGUAACGGCUUACCAAGGCAACGAUGCAUAGCCGACCUGAGAGGGUGAUCGGCCCCACUGGAACUGAGCCACGGUCCAGACUCCUACGGGAGGCAGCAGUAGGGAAUCUUCCGCAAUGGGCGAAAGCCUGACGGAGCAACGCCGCGUGAGUGAUGAAGGUCUUCGGAUCGUAAAACUCUGUUAUUAGGGAAGAACAUAUGUGUAAGUAACUGUGCACAUCUUGACGGUACCUAAUCAGAAAGCCACGGCUAACUACGUG